rnacentral:lncRNA from 1 species
AGCUUUAAGCAAGAAUGAAGAAAUGAAAGUAAUUGAAAUUAACUUACUGAUAUAAGUUUUAUUCGAUUAUAUAUGUAUUAAAGCUUUCAUUUGUUUGGUAAUUAGCUAUACUAGCUAGUUAUAAUUAUAUGAUGUAAAUAAUGAUUGUCAUUAUCAUUGAAACAUAAUUGUUGUGAACUAAUGGUUGAGCGUUGAUAUCGUGGUUUUGGGAGGAGGAUGGGGUCUUAAAUUGAUUGAUUGCCCGAUUGAUGGGCUGUGUGCACUGAUAGAUAAAAAAUAAUACUGUGUUAUCUAACAGGUGGAUAGUCCAAAUUAUAGGGGAGGUGCUGCCGAAAUUUCGUUAGAACUUGAACUAGUUUUAAUUAAUAACAUAAUUAAAAAGUUUAUUUAGAUUAAUUCUAUAACCUAAUGCAUAAUAAANN